rnacentral:rRNA from 1 species
GACGAACGCUGGCGGCGUGCUUAACACAUGCAAGUCGUACGGAAAGGCCCUGUCGUGGGGACACGAUUGGGUAACGGGCGAGUAAGAAGCGAGUAAGUUGCCCACAACUGACGUAGAACUCUAUUAAAGUAGUUGGAAUACUGGAUAGAUGGUCCUUCUGCAUGGUUGGGGGGGGAAGGCUCGGGCGGUUGGGGAGGGACGCGCGGGCGAUCAGGUUGCUUGUGGGGUAGUGGCCUACCAAGGCAGGGAAGGGGAGGCGGCCGGAGAGGGUGGACGGCCCCAUUGGGAACUGGAUACCGCCCCGACUCCUACGGGGGGCAGCCGUGGGGAAUAUUUCCACAUGGGCCGAAGCCUGAUGCAGCAACGCCGCGUGCCGGAUGAACGCCUUCGGGUUGUAAACCCCUUUCCGCAGGGAAGGAGCUUUUUGUGACGGUACCUGCAGAAGAAGCACCGGCUAACUACGUG